rnacentral:piRNA from 1 species
UGUCAGUGGUAAUUACAUCCAAAUAUGUGC